CAACCUGAUGAAUUGGCACUGGGCUCCGAUACCACGUGAGCAGAUAUGCCAUUCCGUGACAGGCCUAGAAAACCUCGUCCACUGACU
rfam:Rachicladosporium antarcticum strain CCFEE 5527 scaffold_7, whole genome shotgun sequence.